rnacentral:rRNA from 1 species
UACGAAGGGUGCAAGCGUUAUUCGGAAUUACUGGGCGUAAAGGGUGCGUAGGCGGUUCGUUAAGUCUGUCGUGAAAUCCCCGGGCUCAACCUGGGAAUGGCGAUGGAUACUGGCGAGCUAUAGUGUGUCAGAGGAUGGUGGAAUUCCCGGUGUAGCGGUGAAAUGCGUAGAGAUCGGGAGGAACAUCAGUGGCGAAGGCGGCCAUCUGGGACAACACUGACGCUGAAGCACGAAGGCGUGGGGAGCAAACAGG